GGGCCGGUAGCUCAGCUGGUUAGAGCAGGCGACUCAUAAUCGCCCACGCGCGGGUUCAAGUCCCGCCCGGCCCA
rnacentral:tRNA from 1 species